rnacentral:lncRNA from 1 species
CCAAUAACUGUAUUUGGGGUUUUGUCUCUAAGAAAUGGGGAAAAGAAGAGAAGGAAGUGAAAGGAAUCUGUUGAGAGAGCAGGUGAAGUGAUCCAAGAAAAGGCAGUGCCAUGGGAACCAAGAAAGGAGACCAAAAGUGAAGAAUGUUGAGUCUGAGCCAGAGAAGGACUGAUGGAGCCAUUGCCACUGUAGCCUCAGAGAGGGCAGCUUCACUAGAACAAUGGCAGCAGAAUGCAGAUGGAGCCAGUGGGGAGAGGAGUGGACAUGAGAGAAAGAUCCCAUAGCCCUCUUGGUCUUGGUUGGAACCGGAGGAAAAUGAAAACUGGACAUCCAUCUUAGGACUUAAUCCUACGGAGACCACAAGCUGGAAGAGGCACUCAAUACCAGCAUGGCUUCUGUGGCAUUUUGAUGAGUAGUAUGGGCUCCACACUGAAAUAUUAAUAUCUUAUUGUUUUGAUGAUGAUGAUGAUGUUCAUUGGCCCAGGGCAAAAGGUAAAGGUUGUGUUAUAAAGCUGAUUUAUUCAAUCUCUGUGGAUGUUAACUCCACCCCAUCCCCUUAUUGAACAAUUACGAUGCCUAUAAAUAUUGUAUUGAGAAAGAAAAAAAAACUAAGGCAGAAGAUAUCAUAUUACCCAUCCAUAUGUGACAUUUUGGCUGGCCAAGCCAUAAUGGCCAAAGAGGAGCAACUGUCAAAAUUUAAGUGGGGUUAGAAAAGAAGAGAGGAACUUGCACGUUUGCACCUACAAGGACCCUCUUUUCUCCUCUGGUAGCCAUGGAAACCACUCCUUGGACCUCCUUUCAAGAGACUCUGCAUGGGGAGCACAGUUGACUGACAGCUCCAAUUGCUGCUCCUUCGAGUCCACCAUGGCACUCAUGCCCAGGCCAUGUUUCCUCCAGGGUUCUCCAGGUAGAGAUGGAGCAGGUGGGGUUGCCAGAGGCAGGCCAUCAGGCCAUCGUGACUGAUGUGGGACUUCUAAUGCUUCCAGGUCUGAAGGCUCACCUGCCGCUUCCUGCUCCCUCCUCCUUUACCCUUCACAGGAGUUUCCUCCCCAUAAAUUUCUUGUGUAUCUAGUCCUGUCUUGGCAUCAGCUUCUUGGAGGACUUGAACUGAUAUGCACUCAACAGCCAGUAAAUCCUGCUAAUUCACAAAAUCCUUGAUUAUCAGUACUAAAGAAAGACACUGGGGGUGAAGAUGUCAUCUUCUAAAAGACUUACUGGGGAUAAUCUACCACCAAAUGUAGGUGGCAAAUGCCAUCUUUGAUCACAUAAUGGAAUCAAUGAAGGAGGUUAUUGAUCUGGUUCAGAGGUGACUUUAAAAUGUCCCAAACCCUUUAAAUAUGUGUGUAUUGAGUAUGUGUGCAUUUCUCCUUGAAGAACAUUUAUACCUUUCAUCUCAUUAAUCUACAAAAUUAUCAGCAGUGGCAGCUAAUUGUCAGUUAACUAGGUAGUUCACAA